ensembl:snoRNA U3 Small nucleolar RNA U3
AAGGCUAUACUUUCAGGGAUCACUUCUGUAGUAUGUUACUAGUGGACUUUCUCUAAUCGUGUAGAGCACCAGAAGCCACACAGAAGAGAUGACAUGUUCUUUUCUGAGUGUGGAGCUCUUGGUGUUCCUUGAAUGCAAAUACCACUUGCAGUGAAUGAUCGUUCUUGCUGUCUCCUUGGAGGAAUAAAGGGGAGGAAUGCAGUCUGAGUGGC